UACGUAGGGUGCGAGCGUUAAUCGGAAUUACUGGGCGUAAAGCGUGCGCAGGCGGCCUUUUAAGUCUGGCGGUGAAAUGCCGGGGCUCAACCCCGUUGCAGGCCGAGGAUACUGGGAGGCUGGAGACGAGUAGAGGCAAGCGGAAUUCCGGGUGUAGCGGUGGAAUGCGUAGAGAUCCGGAAGAACACCGGAGGCGAAGGCGGCUUGCUGGGCUUGGUCUGACGCUGAGGCACGAAAGCGUGGGGAGCGAACAGG
rnacentral:rRNA from 1 species